CAGAGUUGCUGGGAUGUGAUCAAAGCUUACACAUGUUGGUCAAAAUCAUGGGGUCAGCACAGCAGCUGCUCAGUCCUCUCGACGCCUGGUUGGCUUACCAGAAGAGGCACGCAUGAAAAGCUUCACUGAAUUACUGAGGAUAAGGUAUGGAUUUAGGGUUGCGAGGCCUAUGCAAUUUGGGGGACCCCUCUAAGAAAAAAUACAAAAUGACCAUGAAAACACAAAACUAAGUUUCCUCCUCCCGCCUUGGAAUAAUCCCAGAUAAGGGAGGGUGUCUGAAGUUUAUGCUUCAUUCGCUGCAUGGAAAACCCACGUCUGCUUAAAAUCCGGUUGGCUACAUGAACUAAAAUAGAAACUCAAAUUAACAGUGGCAUAAACACCAUAGGAAUGUAUUUCUCUCUCAUGUUAUAGUCCAGAGAUAAGACACUCCUCAGGUGGUGGUGUGACUGCAUCAUGCAAGGUUCCUUUUAUCUUGUUACUCUGUCAUUCCUACAAUGUUGCCUUUGGCACCAAGACCCUGGUCCAGGCAGCAAGAUUGAGGAAGGGCUGGAAGGAUGGACUUGGGGACACGCUGUGCAAAGAGCAUUUAGAGCUUCUUACAAUCCCGUUGGUCGGAAUUCAGUCACAUGGCCUCCUUCAGCCUGGGGGACUUGAGAAAGGAAGGCUCUAUUCUGGGUGCUCAGGUACCUCAGUUAAAUGUCAGUGGUUUUAUUAUUGUAGAAGAAUAUCAGUAUUGGGGCAUCUAGCAUUUGCUGCCUCUCUCUCUGACUCAUUAACUCCUCCGCCGCCAGCUUUACUGAGGUCGAAUUGAUCUUACUUUUAAAUGUGCCAACUCAGAGCUUCGUUGUCUAGAACUACUGUCUUAAGGACUGAGAGACUGAAGUCCCUAAAAGCAUCAGAAAAACCUUAUACUGUAUAUGACUUUAGAAAAGUAAAGGCUUUUUAGAAGAAAGUAAAAUGAAAAGCUUCAUGGACUGCAGGGGUUCCCGCAUUUCUUUGUACGCAAACCAUACUUUCCAUUUCCCGUGAGGCCCCAGAAGACGUGACCGAGCACGAGAGGAGGGCGGUGCCAAGUGAGAUGAGGGCGGACCCGGGAGGGAGCUGCUGCCAAGGCCGCCUUUCCCCGCCCCCACCCCCGGAAUCCGAGAGAACUGGGGGGCAGAGAGAGGGAGGCCAGCUGACUCCAUUUGGCAUAAAGAACCCUAAAGCUUUUCUUUUUUUUUUUUUCCGGAUGGGGGGAAGCAGGAACGUAAAUACUGGAGGAAGGUUUGAAAAAGAGAAUCUGUACUUGAAUUGUUUGGAAGAGAGAAAUGGAGGGGAGGAUGAUCAGGGAAAUCUGAGUAGGUCUUCCUGACUCUCUGAGCUAUAUAUUCCUAGUAACAGCCCAGGCUUUCUGCUUGCGAGCCUGUCAACACUUCAGCGGCAGCGGAAGGUUCCUGGGAACCAUCCUUGGGCGUUUGGCAGGCGCGCCCAGGGCCAACUGUGUGCCCCUCCGGGCUGUUGGAUUUGGAAUUGCUCUUUUAGAAAUGCAUGGCAGGAACAAAGGGGCCCUGUUGGUUAUUUCCAUAUUCUGGAAGAAUCUCUGCCUUGAGUGAUGGUGUGGAGUUAAUGUGAUGUAAACUUCCCAUACUCACAGUUUUUUUUAAUUGUGAUUUUUGCAAGCUGAGUUUGAGAGGCAUUUGUUUGAAACGCGUACACACUUACAAAAGGGGUCUGUCUACCCAAAGAGGAGUUUGGACGCCGUUCCAAGCCUGGGUGUGGCAUAAACCUGCCCUGGUAAAGCAAAAAGGCACAGAAUGUGGACUGUAAAGAAUCAUCAUUACCCUCAAUUAUGGACGACAUUUCAACAACCUCUGUGCGUUUGUGGAGCUUACUAAACGAUCUUGAUAAAGAAGAGUGCUCUGUAAUAGAAAAAUCUGAUUAAAUCUAAGGAAAAUAAUUCUUAACCAGAUGGAGGGAAAAAAAUGUUGGCAAGGUCUGAACUUCUGUCAAUGGCUAAAAGUUAGGAUAAAAGAUUAAUAAAUUCUAAUACUUUAUUCAAACAAAGCGCUGUUUUAAAAAUACAUUUGGUCUAUGCAAAAAUACAAACUUAGGUUAUCUUCUGUAUUGAGUAAAUAAAUUGUAUAGUGCCUA